ensembl:lncRNA
UGGUUAGUGGCUCUGUCGGCCCGGUCCUGUCUACGUUACUUCCUGGCUCAAAAACUGCUUCGCAAGCCGCUGAUGUCCAGGUCCAUGACUAACAGCUUCUACCAGAAGUGGAGCAAAGACAGCAUGAAGGAAGUCACCUGGAUAAACAGUUUUUCCAGUGUUUCACAGUAUCUGUCAGCAUUUAUUGUGGUCCCAACAGACAGAAAGUCAACCAGCAAUACCCUCUUUGGUCCCAAAACACAGUCGCGCACUGCACGAGCGGCUAUGAGACGGCCAUUGUAAAACUGCC